UACGGAGGGGGCUAGCGUUGUUCGGAAUUACUGGGCGUAAAGCGCACGUAGGCGGAUGCUUAAGUCGGGGGUGAAAUCCCGGGGCUCAACCCCGGAACUGCCUUCGAUACUGGGUGUCUGGAGGAUGAGAGAGGCGAGUGGAAUUCCGAGUGUAGAGGUGAAAUUCGUAGAUAUUCGGAGGAACACCAGUGGCGAAGGCGGCUCGCUGGCUCAUUUCUGACGCUGAGGUGCGAAAGCGUGGGGAGCAAACAGG
rnacentral:rRNA from 1 species